CAGAGACGCCCCAGCUGCCAGGGGUCCUGGGGCUCAGCCUGCCAGGCUGGGGCUGCUUUCACUUGCUCAGUGUGUUGAGGAGGGGCCAGCUAUGCUUUGUGUCUGGAAGUCUUUCAUAAGCAUCACCCCAGCCCUGACAAGAAUGUUUCAAAUGUCUCCUUACUACAACAAAGAGUGGGAAUUUAAUCUGAACACUUCACACAUCAAGCUGCCUUUGACAUUGGACACCUCCAAGGAAGAAGACAACCUAAUCUGUACGUCGCAGAGCAAUUCUCUCACAAAAGGACUCUCAGAUUCCCAGGGGAAUAUACUUGCAGCCUCUAUCUCCCAAGUGUAAAUUGAAGUUUAUUUUCUACCUAGGAGCACUUUUACAAUCUGUGAACUCUCCUCAGCCUGAUAAAGAGUGUGUGCCUGAAUGUUAGCAAAGAAAGGAACAUUUUUCUAGUACUUAGUUGGUCUAAUAAAAGGUAUCAUCUCUGAAGCAA